UAUUUUGUUUUUGACUGAUGAUGAUAUGUAUCAAGUUGGCGUCUCCGAAUUCUCCACUUCUUGUCUGUACUACAAUAAACUCACAAUCGCUUUUGUAUCUGUGAAUAAGAAGAAUCUGUCUCUUGAUCAUGGCAGAGAAGAAGGAGAAGCUGAAGCUCUACUCUUACUGGAAAAGCUCGUGCUCACACCGUGUCCGUAUCGCCCUCACUUUAAAAGGGAUUGAAUAUGAGUACGUACCAGUGAAUCCCCUCAAGAGAGAUGAAUUCUUGAAGAUCAAUCCAAUGGGUGCUGUACCAGCGCUUGUUGAUGGAGACGUUGUGGUUUCUGAUUCUCUUGCCAUCAUAAUGUAUCUAGAUGAGAAGUAUCCUGAGCCACCUCUCUUACCUCGCGACCUCCACAAACGUGCUGUAAACUACCAGGCAGCCAGUAUUGUGUUCUCUGGCAUACAGCCUUAUCAAAAUACGCCUGUUGCUAGGUAUAUUGAGGAGAAGACAAAUGCUGAGGAGAAAACUGCUUGGGUCAGUAACGCUAUCACAAAAGGAUUCACUGCUCUCGAGAAGCUGUUGGUUAGCUGCACUGGAAAAUAUGCGACUGGCGAUGAAGUUUACUUGGCUGAUCUCUUUCUAGCCCCACAGAUCCAUGCAGCUAUCAACAGAUUCCAGAUUAACAUGGAACCGUACCCAACACUUGCAAAAUGUUACGAGUCAUACAAUGAUCUUCCUGCGUUUCAAAACGCAGUCCCAGAGAAGCAGCCUGAUGCUCCUGCUUCCACAAGCUGAUUCUGUGCCACCGUAGUAAGCUACUCUCAGCUCAAUAAUAACUCACAGACAGGCUGAAAGGAAUCUAUACCUCAAGAACAAUUGAAGGUGCUGCUCAAUAUGUCUGCGCGUAUUCAAGUUGCCUCAACCCAAGGUAAGAUGUCACAGUUUGUUAUAUUAUAUUGUAAUCUUUUGUUUAAGAACGCUUAAUUGAGUUCUUGCAUUAGAGCACUCAAAUUAACAGUUUCUUAACAAAAGUUCUUAGUUUAUCUUUAAUAUUUAAAUAUUUAUUAAAAAACUUUAAAUAGAGUUCUAUGGUUAAUGAUGCUCUCAGUUGCUCUAAACAUAAAAGGGAUCACUUAGGAUUGAAAGGGAUCACUUAGGAUUUUGGUUGUAUGUUGAUUAAUCAUUUUUGCAAUUUUUUUUAUCAUUUUGACAUAUUGAAGAAAAAUACACAAAAAUCAAAAUAAUAUACCUAGUUUUAUUAUCCAGUUUUCUUUUGCUUCCAUUAUUUCCAAUACUUGUUGACCUUCGGAAGACGAUAAGAAAGAUCUAUGAGUAGGGUUGAACAUUUUAUCCGUUAAAUUUUAUUCGAUUCGUUAUUCGUUUCGAUUUGAUCUGAAAAUUUCAGAUAUCCGUAAACUUUCGAAGCAAAUCAAAUACUAAAAAUAAAUAUCCGUUAAAAUCAAAGCAAAUCACAAAUAUUAAAAUUUUGGGAAACGGAUAUCCGCUCCGAUCUGAAAAUAUAUAAAUACAUGUGUAUCUUGAUUAUAUUUGAAGUUUUAAAUGUAUAAAAUUAUAUAAUUAUUAUUCUAACAUAUGAUUUGACAAAUUUUAUUCACAUUAUUACUUAUAUAAAAGUAUUACAUAAAAAAAAAUUGUGACAAUUAUAACUUGUUUCUUUAAGUUUUAUUGUAUUAUAAUUGUUAAUUAAGUUUAAAAAAUUUACAAAAUAUGUAGAACCACUACUUCUUUUAAUUUUUUAUUUUCUAUAUCAUGCAAAAAAACUAAUAUUUUAUAAAACAAAUUUGUAUCAAAUUUAAUUUUUAAGAUUAUGUGUAUUAAUCAAAACGGGUGAAAUAUCUAAUCUGAAAGUAUUCGUAAAUAUCUACAAGUAUCUAUUUAUUUUUCAAUGAUAUCCGUAUUUUUUCGAAACUAAAUAAAUCGAAAAAUUAGAAAUCCGUAGAAUACAAAACAAAUAAUAAAUACUUUCUAAACCUGGAUAUUCGAACCCGUCCAGCCCUAUCCGUGAGAGAUUUCAGUAAAUACACAAAAUACAUAAAUCGGUAUAGAGUAACAUGUCACCGACAAGACUGAACCUGUCGUUUAGAACUCGUUGACUUUCUUAAGAAACUUCCAUAAAACACGUGUAUAGAAUAUAGACAAAGGUACACGCGUGUAAAUAAGACAGAACAAGAUAUGGAUGUACCAGAGAUGUGACGAUAAACAGAGAAUAGUUAAAUACAAAAAGAACAUGAAAAUAUAUUACCGAAUGGAGAAGCGGAUCAAGGUUGCGGAUCAAAACAUAAUAAAUUUCAAACAUACAAAAAUAAGCCCAGUGUAAUUAUUCUAGUGAUAAUAAAUUAAGUCAACGGAAGAAACAGACGAAGAGAUUCACGAGAUACCCCUAUUCUCAUUUAUUUAUGUUUUUGUCAUACAAGAGCCAUUUCUUUCUCUCAGUACAGUUCAUGGCCCGAGUUCUCCGACCACAAUGACCUACAAGGUUAUUCAUGUAUUGUUUGAUAACCAAGUUUUUUUUUUUUUGAACUUUUUGAUAACAAAGUUUACAAUCAAUGUAUUGAUUCCUUUGAAUACCACCCAACAAGGAGGGCGUUUGUUUUUUUGUUAUAAUGUUAUUAACAUAAGAAGGGAAUCACACAAAUAUGCUUGAGCACCGAAAGAUUCGUUAUAUGAAAAUAUCGUGUACUUUCAAAAAUGUUAUUACUUUGAAAAUAAUUGACGAUGGCUAUAGGUCAUAUUCAUGCAUUAAGUUCUGACCCCACAAUUGAAAAUUUAAAAGUUCGAAUUUGUAAUUUUGUGUAAAAGAAGAAUGAUUCUACGAUAAACCUUUUUUUUAAACAUUAUUACGAUAAACUUGCGGCUGCAUUAUUGAAUAUUGGCUGGGCGGUCCAUACAGCACACACACACAAGAUAGACAUAAAACUAAACACCAUACCUAUUUAUGGUCAUUUCAAUGUGAGAUUUUUAACGGUUUAAAUAACUAAUAAUUUAAAAUAUUCAAAAUAUAACAUAUAGAAAAAAUUAAAAAUUUUAUUAUAACUAUAAGUGAAUGUUUAGUUGAUUUCAAUAAAAUAAAAUUAAAAAUGAUAGAAGAUUUACACAAAUUAUUAUCAAAUUUUUGUUGUUCAAAAUCAUUAAUUGUCUAUAUAUUUUAAUCACAUUAAGUAUUUUCGUAGGUUUUAUAUAAGUAGGGGUUAUUGGUUGUAUUUUUAUGGAUUUGAAAAUCUGAACUAAAUCUAGUGUUAUUGGUUCUAUAAUUUUCAAAUCUAUAUUAAAAUCAUGUGUUAUUGGGUUAAUGAUUCAUAAAUUCUAUAUCAAAUCAAGUGUUAUUCAAUCGUACGGAUUUACUAAUAUAUUUGAUUUUAUAAUGGAUUUGAAUGGAUUUGUUUGGUUUUUUUUGUUAAAAAUACAAAGACUCAAAUCU